UACGUAGGGUGCAAGCGUUAAUCGGAAUUACUGGGCGUAAAGCGUGCGCAGGCGGUUAUGCAAGACAGAUGUGAAAUCCCCGGGCUUAACCUGGGAAUGGCAGUUGGGACUGCAAGGCUUGAGUUUGGCAGAGGAGACUGGAAUUCCUGGUGUAGCAGUGAAAUGCGUAGAUAUCAGGAGGAAUACCGAUGGCGAAGGCAGGUCUCUGGGCUAGAACUGACGCUCAUGCACGAAAGCGUGGGGAGCAAACAGG
rnacentral:rRNA from 1 species